rnacentral:lncRNA from 1 species
CCCGCCAUGCCCGGCUAAUUUUUUUUUUUUUUCUAGUAGAGACAGGGUUUUACCAUGUUGGUCAGGCUAGUCUUGAACUCCUGACCUCAAGUGACCCACCCGCCUCAGCCUCCCAAAGUGCUGGGAUUACACGCAUGAGCCACUGCACCUGGCUAACAAGUGCUAUUUUUUAGUUCCCAUUAUGUGCCAUGGACUGCACAUCAUAUACAUUUUUGCUAAUCCUUACACCAACCCUACACAAUAGAUAUUUUUAUCCUAAUGUUAGAGAUAAGGAAACUGAUGCUCAGAGAGCUUAAGUGACUUACCCAAGAUCACACAGCUAGUAAGUGACAGAGUGAGAAUCAGGUCUGACUGCACUCAGGUCUGACGGACUCCGAAUUGCCUCCUCUUGCCACUGGGCAAUGGGCCUUUGAGUUGUUCCCUCACAUGUCUGUGAGGCCAGACCCUGAGUCUGAGAUUCUGGGGUCCCCUCAGUGCUGCCAGCUCCUUAGUCCCUAAGACUGUUAGGACCACAGAGCCCAUGGCCAGUGAAUCCAGCAGGGGAAUAAAUAUGCAGAUGAUAUAAGACAGCAAAAAUCAGCCCAGGGCUGGGACUGGAAGGCCUGAGUGAGGAAAGGAACCUGCUCUCUAGGAGUCAGGACACCCCGGUCCUGGCCCUGACUCAGCUCCCACAGGGCCUUCAGCCAGUCCCCACAGGGCCCACAGCCUGGUGGUCAAUCACUGUCCCUGGUGGGAUACCCUGUGAGCCGCACUUUACUCCCCAGAGAACAAGGGGCUUUGCCUGCAGGAUGCUGUCUAAGCUUUUCUGGUUCUGAGAAUUCUGGGAUUCUUCCAGGAGCCCUGGGGGAUGCCUGGUCAAUAGGUAACUGUCUCUGCUGCCAGGAACCCAGGGCCUGGGGGGAGACAGGCGAGGGCACGCCCAGAGCAGCUGCAGUUUUUAUCAGGAGAGACGUGUCACCCAAGGGCCUGGAUAAGACUCCCCCACUUCCGCAGCCCUCCUCCUGCUUUGUCUCCUAGGAUAGAAUAGAGCACGAUAGGAUGAGGUGGGACAGAUGAGGACUUCACACACUGUAAGGGUAAACAUUGUUUCGUCUGCUUGUGUUUGAAUUCUAUAAAUGUAUUUCUGUGUUGGGUAAAAUUUGCGUCUCCCUGAGGUUGCACUCUAAGGAGUAUGGAAAACCUGGCUCUAGACUAACUGGGCCCCCCGUGGUGCUCCAGGCAUCCCCACCCUCACCUGUGGCACCUGGAGCUCCUGCUGUCACCGGCCCAGCUGGGUCCUGUGUCUUUCUCUGGUUGUCAGGGCCUGCGCUGACAGUCCCCCCACAGGGAGGUGGAAUCUGGGGUUGACAGGGCUGGGAGGAUCCUUCCUCUUUCCAGGCUCAGGCAAAUCCUCGCCUGGAGGCGGGGAAUGGGCUAGAUGACCCCUGAAACAGUUCAGUCCAGGGUCUGAGAGCCCCUCUGUGCCCAGCGCUGUGCCCCCUCCCCUUCCUACGCUUCCCUGCAGGGCCCGCGAGAGAGAGGGGAAAGCAGCUGCCAGCUCCAGGCAGUCAUUUUACCCCAGGUGCCACUUACCCUGCGGAGGGGCUGGAACCAGCUAAUCAUUUUACCUGGAGGUGCCACUUACCCUGCAGAGGGGCUGGAAUCAGCUAAUCAUUUUACCUGGAGUUGUCAUUUACCCUGCGGAGGGGCUGGAGCUUGUCCGGUUUUCCAGUUCCUGUGUUGCCUGCCAGCCCUGUCUACCCCAGGCUGUGGGUGUCUAUGGCUGACAAAGGCCCCUGAGCCAGGCCAACCCCAGCCUCCCAGGGGGUGGCUCUGUGGUCCCUAGCAGCCCCAGCAUCAUCCAGGGCACAGAGGCCAUGGACCCUGGAGACACAGCCCUUCCUAUUCAUCCAGGGCACGGCUCCCUCUGUCCCUCCAUCUCUCCCUCACAGAGCUUUCAGCAAGAUAGAUGGUCAUUCUCCUGUCCUCACUGUUUGCUCCUGGCAUAAGGGGACCCCGGGGCUGGAUGACUUCCCUAAAGAGGAGUCUCUCAGGGUUUCCUCAGGUGCUCCGAAGUCCUGUCUGGAGGAUGAAGGUGGGGGGCACAUCCCUGAGGCAGACUCCCCGCUGCCCUCCCUCCACCCUUCACCGAUUCCCCAUGUAUUAGUUUUCUACAGCUAUGUAAUCAGUUUCCCAAACCUUAGUAGCUUGAAGCAACAAACAUUUAUUAUCUCACAGUUUCUGAGGGGCAGUUUAGCUAAGUGGCUCUAGCUCAGGGUCUCUCAUGAGCAGCUUUCAGCCAGGGCUGCAGUUCUCAGACGCCUUGAGGAUUAGAGAAUCUGCUUUCAAGAAAGCCUCAUACUUUCUUGCAAGGUAACAAAUAAGUGCUGUAGAUCACCUAAGAAAACAGUGCUGUAUUACGCUUUGUUACCGAGAACCCGCAAAAGGACAGCCUGGAUUAUGCUAAACAAUGCAAGGGAAGGGUAGGGCAAGUGGCCAAAUCCCUGAUGGUAGAGGACAAAUUCCAAAGCAAAGAAAAGCUGGCAGGACCAAUUUAUGAAUUGUGAAAGCCUAACAUUAAGGCAUUGUACCAUUUUUCCUGCCACAGGAUCAGCUAUCUUGCAAUCAAUGGCCUCUAAGACUCAAUAAUCCCGGGAUAGGACCAGCUGCAGUCACUCUAAGAGCUCCCUCUGGGAGGGGAGGCCUGGCAGGGAACCGUGAGGACACAACAGAGCUCUAGGUCUGGCAGUUGAGACAGGAGCUUCUUUCCUUUUAGGAAAAUUACCCCAGGCUGUCCUUGGCGGCACCCCAUCACUAGGAGUGUAACUAAGGAGCUUGUGGUCAUCUUUUGUCCCCUCGUGGACACUUUUAAAAGUGCAGCCCGGCCGCGCACGGCGGCUCAUGCCUGUAAUCCCCAGCACUUUGGGAGGCUGAGGCAGGCGGAUCAUGAGUUCAAGAGAUCAAGACCAUGCUGGCCAACAUGGUGAAACACCAUCUCUACUAAAAAUACAAAAAUUAGCCAGGUGUGGUGGCACGUGCCUGUAGUCCCAGCUACUCGAGAGGCUGAGGG